CCUACGGGUGGCUGCAGUGGGGAAUAUUGGACAAUGGGGGCAACCCUGAUCCAGCCAUGCCGCGUGUGUGAAGAAGGCCCUCGGGUUGUAAAGCACUUUCAGUGAGGAAGAACGCCUGGUGGUUAAUACCCAUCAGGAAAGACAUCACUCACAGAAGAAGCACCGGCUAACUCCGUGCCAGCAGCCGCGGUAAUACGGAGGGUGCGAGCGUUAAUUGGAAUUACUGGGCGUAAAGCGCGCGUAGGUGGCUUGAUAAGCCGGUUGUGAAAGCCCCGGGCUCAACCUGGGAACGGCAUCCGGAACUGUCAAGCUAGAGUGCAGGAGAGGAAGGUAGAAUUCCCGGUGUAGCGGUGAAAUGCGUAGAGAUCGGGAGGAAUACCAGUGGCGAAGGCGGCCUUCUGGACUGACACUGACACUGAGGUGCGAAAGCGUGGGUAGCAAACAGGAUUAGAUACCCCGGUAGUC
rnacentral:rRNA from 1 species